rnacentral:lncRNA from 1 species
AUAACAAGAGGCUCUCAAGAGCCUGAAUCGCUCACCUGGUAAACAAUGCCUUAUUGAACAUAUUGAACCAUGCCAGGCAAACAUGUACAGCUAACAAUUCUUCAAUAUUACAAAUAUAUAUGACUUACUGUUUAUAAAUAAAGAAAAUGAGACCAAAACACAAACACUUAAAACUUAGCAAUGGACUGUGAAAAUGAGGUCAAGUUCAAAUAAAACCUGCGUAACCAACAUAUAGAUCAUAAAAUAUUUUCAUACACCAAAUAUAGUUGACCUAAUGCAUAAAGUAUUAAAAAAAUAGACCAAAACUAAAAAAGUUAACUUUGACCACUGAAUUAUGAAAAUGAGGUCAAGGUUAGAUGACACCUGUCAGCUAGACAUGUACACCUUACAAUCAUUCUAUAUUCUAUUUAAAGUAAGGGCGGCCAUGUUUUUUGACGGAUCAAAAAUCGAAGCACACACUUUGUGCAGGAUAAUCUAAGGAACUAUCAUGCUAAGUUUCAUCCAAAUCCAUUCAGUAGUUUCAGAGGAGAAGAUUUUUUAAAGUUAGCAAAUAUGAUGAACAAAUUGUGAAAAAUUGUCAUUAAAGGACAUUUACC